GAUGAACGCUGGCGGCGUGCCUAAUACAUGCGAGUCGAGCGAACGGACGAGAAGCUUGCUUCUCUGAUGUUAGCGGCGGACGGGUGAGUAACACGUGGAUAACCUACCUAUAAGACUGGGAUAACUUCGGGAAACCGUAGCUAAUACCGGAUAAUAUAUUGAACCGCAUGGUUCAAAAGUGAAAGACGGUCUUGCUGUCACUUAUAGAUGGAUCCGCGCUGCAUUAGCUAGUUGGUAAGGUAACGGCUUACCAAGGCAACGAUGCGUAGCCGACCUGAGAGGGUGAUCGGCCACACUGGAACUGAGACACGGUCCAGACUCCUACGGGAGGCAGCAGUAGGGAAUCUUCCGCAAUGGGCGAAAGCCUGACGGAGCAACGCCGCGUGAGUGAUGAAGGUCUUCGGAUCGUAAAACUCUGUUAUUAGGGAAGAACAUAUGUGUAAGUAACUGUGCACGUCUUGACGGUACCUAAUCAGAAAGCCACGGCUAACUACGUG
rnacentral:rRNA from 1 species